AGAGUUUGAUCCUGGCUCAGGACGAACGCUGGCGGUGUGCUUCACACAUGCAAGUCGAACGAGGUAGCAAUACCUAGUGGCGGACGGGUGAGUAACGCGUGGGAAUCUGCCUUUAGAUGGGGGAUAGCUAGCCGAAAGGCUAAUUAAUACCGCAUACGCGUAUAUCUCGACAGGGAUAUACGUGAAAGUAGUAAUACGUC
rnacentral:rRNA from 1 species